GACGAACGCUGGCGGCGUGCCUAAUACAUGCAAGUCGAGCGGACGUUGUCCUUCGGGACAACGUUAGCGGCGGACGGGUGAGUAACACGUAGGCAACCUGCCUGCAAGACUGGGAUAACAUCCGGAAACGGAUGCUAAUACCGGAUACGCGGAUUUCUCGCAUGAGGGAGCCGGGAAAGGCGGCGCAAGCUGUCACUUGCAGAUGGGCCUGCGGCGCAUUAGCUAGUUGGUGGGGUAACGGCUCACCAAGGCGACGAUGCGUAGCCGACCUGGGAGGGUGAUCGGCCACACUGGGACUGAGACACGGCCCAGACUCCUACGGGAGGCAGCAGUAGGGAAUCUUCCGCAAUGGACGCAAGUCUGACGGAGCAACGCCGCGUGAGUGAAGAAGGUUUUCGGAUCGUAAAGCUCUGUUGCCAGGGAAGAACGGAUGAAGGAGUAACUGCCUUUGUCAUGACGGUACCUGAGAAGAAAGCCCCGGCUAACUACGUGCCAGCCGCCGCCGUAAAAC
rnacentral:rRNA from 1 species